AUUGAACGCUGGCGGAAUGCUUUACACAUGCAAGUCGAACGGCAGCACGGACUUCGGUCUGGUGGCGAGUGGCGAACGGGUGAGUAAUGUAUCGGAACGUGCCCAGUCGUGGGGGAUAACGUAGUGAAAAUUACGCUAAUACCGCAUACGAUCUAUGGAUGAAAGCGGGGGAUCGCAAGACCUCGCGCGAUUGGAGCGGCCGAUAUCAGAUUAGGUAGUUGGUGGGGUAAAGGCCCACCAAGCCAACGAUCUGUAGCUGGUCUGAGAGGACGACCAGCCACACUGGAACUGAGACACGGUCCAGACUGCUACGGGAGGCAGCAGUGGGGAAUUUUGGACAAUGGGCGAAAGCCUGAUCCAGCCAUUCCGCGUGCAGGAUGAAGGCCCUCGGGUUGUAAACUGCUUUUGUACAGAACGAAAAGGUUUCUACUAAUACUAGGAGCUCAUGACGGUACCGGAAGAAUAAGGACCGGCUAACUACGCGCCAGCCGCCGCUGUAA
rnacentral:rRNA from 1 species